GAUGAACGCUGGCGGCGUGCCUAAUACAUGCAAGUCGAGCGAACAGACGAGGAGCUUGCUCCUCUGACGUUAGCGGCGGACGGGUGAGUAACACGUGGAUAACCUACCUAUAAGACUGGGAUAACUUCGGGAAACCGGAGCUAAUACCGGAUAAUAUAUUGAACCGCAUGGUUCAAUAGUGAAAGACGGUUUUGCUGUCACUUAUAGAUGGAUCCGCGCCGCAUUAGCUAGUUGGUAAGGUAACGGCUUACCAAGGCAACGAUGCGUAGCCGACCUGAGAGGGGGGGCAGGCAAAAAGGGAAGUGAAAACGGGGCAGACCCCCAAGGGGGGGAGCAGUGGGGAAUACUUGCCAAAGGGGGAAAACCUGGAAGGGGCAAGCCGGGGGGGGGAAGAAAGGCUUUGGAAUGUAAAAACCUUUUUAUGGGGAGAAAAAAAAGUUUGAAGAAACUAUGCCCGUUUGGAGGGAACCAAAUAAAAAGCCCACGCCAAACUAGGG
rnacentral:rRNA from 1 species